rnacentral:rRNA from 1 species
CAGUCGCCGCGGUAAAACGAAGGGGGCUAGCGUUGUUCGGAUUUACUGGGCGUAAAGGGUGCGUAGGCGGAUUGUUAAGUCAGGGGUGAAAUCCCGAGGCUCAACCUCGGAACUGCCUUUGAUACUGGCGAUCUUGAGUCCGGGAGAGGUGAGUGGAACUGCGAGUGUAGAGGUGAAAUUCGUAGAUAUUCGCAAGAACACCGGUGGCGAAGGCGGCUCACUGGCCCGGUACUGACGCUGAGGCACGAAAGCAUGGGGAGCAAACAGGAUUAGAUACCCCGGUAGUCCCUGUCUCUUAUAA